rnacentral:lncRNA from 1 species
UUUAUAGUAUAGCCUUACAAUAGACCACAAAUUUGGGCCCAAACAGGCCCAUAUUGCACAUAAAACCCAACAGUAAUCUCAUAUCUUUAAAAUUCUUAACAUGCGGAGGAGCAUCUGUACUAUCAUCAACAAGUAUAUCUAUAUGGCACUGUUUACGAAUUGAAUCACAAUCCUUAACAGCCAUUCUUCGUAUCCGUAAAGGGGGUUUCUAUCCAGUAACUAAUGGUUUAGUAUAAGUAAUACUUUUAGAUAAUUCUCCAACAGAUAUUAAACUUUUUCUAUCAAAUAAAUGUUCAAUUAUUUCUUUUUCUUCUUGUACUAUUUGUUCAGUUGGUGGUGUUACCUCCGGUAGAUCUUUCUUCAAUUGAGUUGCUUUCACCAAGAGACUUGGUUUUGCUGGUUGGAUAGAACGCUUAUCACCUUCGUCACAACGCUUGCGUUUGUUUCGGUUCUUAUGUUCAAGAAUUUUCUCAGCUUCCAUUGCUCUUCUCUUCUCUAUUGGUAUGUAUUCUACAUAAUCUUUGUCGUCUUCUAUUUCUAUUUCUAUUUCAAUUGCUGAUUGUUUUCGGUUUACUGAUGUAUUCGACACUUCCAUCUUUUUCAGAUCUAUGAAUGCGGGAUUUAAAGCACUUGUGAUGACGGAAAGCAAUAGAGAAAGAGAGAUUGCACGACAAUUUUUUUCGGAUUUAUUCGAUUGAAUUGUUUUGGUUCUGGGACUCUUUAUACAGAGAAUCCACCGCUGGUAUCGCAGGGUUAGUUGGUUACGUUGUUUUUGGUAAAAAGAAUCCGGGUAAAUUUGCAUCGAGUCGGUUCGGGAUAUACAAGCGUUAAUGGGCUAAUUUUGAAUCAACUUUAGGCUUUUAGUUAUUAGCACUUUUUAGUCCCAUCCAAUAGAUGAUUCUCUACCACAAUUCCACUAUUUAGAAUUCAAAAACAUUUAUUAGAAGUAUAGAACUAUAACGAUCACUUUGAAUUGGAGUUUUUUUAAAUAAAAGCUUUCGGAUCAGUCGAUCGGAUAGUUGAUACAGUAUAUCAAAUUUAAUUUUUAACAAUUCUACUUCUAAUAAAUCAAUUACUUCAGAUUUUCCUACUUCUUCGAGUUUAAGGAAGAAAAAAGGGUAAUAGAGAGAGGGAAUUUUAAUCUAACCUCGAUCUAAAAAGUCCACCAAGAUACAAAGUGAAGUGUAAUUUGGUGAAGAGAUAGAGAAUGGAGGAAGGAGUUUUGUAGUUUUGCUUUAUAUGUUGUUGAUAUGAUAAGGAGUGCCAUUUUUUUUAUUGCCACGUGAACAAAGCCACGUUAGUUUGUAAAGAAAGUUUGUGAGAAAUCUCGGUCAACGUAGAAUGAUUCAAUAAAAAAUUAACUAAUCUUUUUUUUUUCCUCAAAUCUUUUUCUUUUUAUUAAAACUUCAUUUUAGAUUUUCUAUGAAAAAGAAAUAUAAAACGGCAUGACCUUAACGAAGAAAACAAUAGUCAAAAACUAAGAUUUGAAUAUAUUUUUAUGAUUCCAAUUAUAGAUGAAAGUAAACUUCUUGUUUAGAAAUAUUUUUGUUAUUUAAAUUUACAAGUGCCUUAGCCGAUGCGUAACACCGGUUAAUUUUAAUUUAUCUGUGUUUGAUUACCAUUCAAGUUUUAAGUUAUUAAUUUUAUUAAAUAUUAUAAAUUAUAUUAAUUUAUUAAAUCUUAUGAAAUAAUUAUUUCUUAAGAUUCUCAUUAUAUUUUGUUAAUUUAAUUUUUUUUUAAUAAAAAUUCAAACCAUAAAUUAAAUAUGUUAAAUUACAAUAAAACCAUUAUUUAAAGUGAUGCAUUCUAGGGUUUAAAACCCCUAUUUUGUGCCAAGAUUGCUACUACAUGUUUUUAGAAUUAUUAGGGAUUUUUAGGAUUAUGUUUAAUUGGUAUUUUUAGGUGUUUUAGGGUAUUUCUAUUUUAGGGUUAUUUUAAUUUCGAAUUAUGUUUUCUAUUUUCAUUAGAAUUGUUCUAGGUUUAGGUUUCCUUGUUUUCCAAGGAUUGUUUUCCUAUUUAAAGAGUUGUAGGCCUUUGGCCAAGUUUCUAUUUUCAUUAGAAUUGGUCUAGGUUUAGGUUUCCUUGUUUUCCAAGGAUUGUUUUUCCUAUUUAAAGAGUUGUAGGCCUUUGGCCAAGUUGGUGUUCAUUGGUUAAUUGAAUUGUAUGUUUUGAGAAGAAUCUUCUCUUUGUGUGUGUUCCUGGUUAAGAACAUUGGUUGUCGAAUCCCGAAAAUCGUCGUAGUUCUUUGAAUUCGGUUCAAAGAACAUAUCUUCAUACCACGACUGCAUCAUAAAAGGUAUUAUAUAAAUUUACCAAAAAACCAUGACUAAAAGGGUGACAAAAUUUUAAAGCUCAAUUCUCAUUAAUCGGGACUGUUUAUAAUAGUAGUACAGAUUCCAUAUUUUACUACUAAAAAAAUAAAAUAAAAUGUGGUGUCCUGAAAGUUUUUUUUUUAAUUUUAUUUGUGGUGUACUUACAAAAUCUUAAAGAAUAUUUGUUGUAAGCUAAACAAAUGUGGUGUACGAGAGAUUUGUGUGGUGUGACAAGAUCUCCCUUUUAAAAAUGUCGAUUAUCCCAUUCUGUCUAUGGUUUAACUCUGAGCUUUAGUUCAAUAAUUUGGGUAACUUGAGUUGAGGAUCUUUAAUAUUAUAUUUCACCAACACCUUUUAUUUUGAGAUUCCAUGAGAUAAGAUAAGAAUCCCAUAUGAAAAAGAUAUGCAUUUGUUCAUAGCAUAUAUGCACCAAGUUGCUCAUUGAAUUUUUGGUGGUGGACAAAACACCUCAGCAUUGCAGAGAUACCUCAGUUCUAUUCUAAUCAGAAACCUGUCAAUACUUCAAGGAGUAAAUAACAAUUCAUUGAAACCAAAAUAUAUUGCAUUGUGUAUGUUUGACAAGACGUAUUUCACAUAACAGGGCAUCCCUACUAUUGCCUACUUGAUCUCCUUGCCUACUUGAUCUCCAAAAAUGCGGGAGGUAAUGGGAGAAGAAGACACCGUACAUGAGGGCGACUUUAGUAAAGGAUUAAUCCCACCCAAGUAAAUGCAGUUGCCAUUUUGCAUUAGGCAAUGUACAAAUGCAGCUAAUUGAACACAAAAUACAAAUAUUUUAUGUGGUAGUUACAACUUACAAGUGAGUGCUGCAUAAACUCAAAACCUAAUGGUUGAUCAAAACACCAUCUCUUUGUUUCUGUACAAUGAUGGAUUGGACACCUGAGGUGUAUAUAAUUACGCGUGGCUACGAUUACAAAGGUUGUAACCUGAUAUUAGGGAGCUGAAGGCAAAUGCGACGAAGGCCAGGAAAGACAUUCCUAUAGAGGCACUAGCCAUCACAGUGAAGUCAUCUUUCCCCCAAUUACUCUGCCAGUCAUCCACUCGACUUGCUGCAGCUGAUGACGCUGAUAUCAGAAGGUAUGUCAAAAUCUGCAAAAUGAACACAAGCCCAAUAACGCAUACAAUCUUCAAUUUAUACUUGCCAAAACGUUAUCACAUAUAACAUAUUUGGUAGAAGCACCAAGCAAAAGCUGCAAUGCAAAGGAAACUACAAGCUAUGCAUCACAUCAUUAGACAUAGACUGCCUACCAAAGAAAAAAAAAAUAGACACAGACUGUCAGGCUCUGCUCCUUGUGUAGUUGUGGUAAUACAGGAAAUUAAUUUUAUCGGAUUUCAGUGAUUGUUAACAAAUCAAAUAAGAAUGCAAUUUGAUAGAUUACAAUGACAUAUCUAGCUUCAAUUUAUUUAAAAAAAAAAGAGUUAAAAGAGCACGAAAACAAACAUUAACUGCCAACAUGAAGUGUGCUGGAACUGAAAGAGAAUAAACAUCAACUGCCAAAGCCAACCUAUUUGUUUUGGUAUAUAUGUCCGUCAAGGCGUCAAGCUAUAAAUAACAUGUCCCUGUGCUCAUUUGGCUAAAGAGAGGGUCACAUACAUAAUUAACCAAGUUCAGGUAUAAGAACUCCAUUUCUUGUAAACAUUAAACCCUACUCAUUGAUUAUACCAAACUGAAGACAAACAAGAGUAUAAGAGGCAGAACAAUGUCUUAUUCAUACAUUUCCCUUAUUGGAUAAAGUUCAUUAACGGAGUAUUGAUAACAAAGUUUUGACUGGACGCUUGAAUAUGUGAUCAUCUGAUAAAAAGGAAAACAUAUUAAGCCAAUUCAAGAAAUCGGUAUGUUCUAAAUUAAAAACAUAUUAGAAUGAGUGGUUUGCAAUAUUCAACAUUUAGUAAGAACACACAACUGCAACCAACAGUUUUUCUUUUAUUUUGAUUGUUAUUCCAUGUUUUGUUGAUAACUCAUCUCCAAAUGUUGUUGUUGCAAUUUUGCCCAAGAUGCACAUAUAAAUCAUUCGUGUGUGACAGUAAAAUCCAACAUUCAUGAACAAAUAACUACAGAGUACGCCAAAUAAUACCUGAUCAAUAGAGAAAUCAAAGUAAUAGCGCACACCAUUUCCUAAAACAUGCUUCCCGGAAAUCAAACUAUAUGACAAAUCAUACGCUUGAAAUCCUGCAUAAACAAAUCCAAUAACACUCACCGAUAAGCAAUACCUGUAAAACAGUACACAUUAACCAAAUCAAAUUAGCUCAAUUGCAAACCAAAAUCACUCCAAUCAAUUUUCCGGAAAAAAAAACCCACUAAAUUUACCUGUACUCUUUGUAUCGAUUAAAGGAAUCACCAGCCCAACCUUGUGUUUUAUCAGCAGCCAUAACUGAGAAAGAAAUCAAACAAAACACAAAAGCACAAACCCUAAACCCUAACGCAGCUCUCUUCAACAUAGCUUCUCUUCUCUCUCUCCAUAAAAUUGACGAAACAGUUCUCGAUUUCUGAUUACCAUCACCACUACCAACAACUCCAUCUUCCACAUCAGCACUUCUCCGACUACCAAUACCGGAAUAACCGUUUCCACCAUGAUCAACUUUAGGUGGUUGUGCUGCUGCUGCUACAGAUAAUUCUUCACGAAUUGACCGGUUAACUACAACUACCGGUGAUAAAACUGGCGAUAAAGGAUGAACAGAUUCAGGUAUGGAUAUGGGUUGUUGAUGUUGUUGUUGUUGUUUAAUGGGUUUAUGUUGUGGAGAUCGAAGUGGUGAAAAACCAUGAAUUCUUCGAUCUGCUGCAAUAAUUUGAGAUAAAUUUUCAUGUGGUGUUUGGGUUUGGGUUUGGGGAGGUUUAAGUGGUAGUAAUGGUAGUUUACGUGAAAUAGAAGGUGGAGUAGGAGAUCGAAGUGGUGAAGAUUCUGACUCAUCCAUCUCAGGUUUUACUUCUUCUUCUUCCUUAAUAGAAACCAUUAUUAUUAUUAUUAAGAACAAGAAAGAAGAAUAUGUAGAACUUGAAUUGAUUGAAAAAAAAAGAAAAAGAAAAAGAAUAGUUGUGUUGUGUUUGUGUUGGAAAAGAGGAAAGAGAGUGGGGUAGUGAGUUUGAGUUGAGUUCUAGAGAGUGGAGUUUAUGGACCACAACAACACUUAAAACAUUGAAGUUGGUGAAAUAGAUUCUGUCUGUAAUUUACUUGGGAACAACUUGUUUAAGUGAAAUUUUCCAAUCUUAAUAAUUUAAUGCAAGAUAGAGUUUUGUUUUUAUACUUCGUAUAGUAAUGUAAUAUACCAAUACCAUUUAUUUUAACUGAGGAUGUUCAGGCUUCCAUAGUUGUAGAAGAUGAAAUGAAGGUCAUGUAGUGCCGACAUGCUUUAAAUUCUAUGGAUGAAAUGAAAUAUAUUUCUUUCACAUCAAGCUAAGGUAGUACUAGUACCAUCACUUCACAUAGGACCAAGUGGGUGUAAUUCGAGCCAAACCACUAAACCAGCCAGGCUUUCGUAUGAUCCAAACUGAAGCAUUCUAUUCUAGUUAUACAGUACUUUUUUUCCGAUGGUCUGUUUGAUUCAAUUGCGGUAAAAUUAAUUUGCCGAUGAAAAUAGAGGAUAUCAGAUGAAAUUAAAAUUUUAUAGUCAGAGAAGAAGACACAAAGUGAGAGGGAGCGGUAAAAUCAAUUUGCCAGUGAAACAGAGGGUACAAGAUGGAAUUAAAAUUUUAUAGUCAGAAAAGAAAACACACGGAAUGAGAGGGAGUUUUGACGGAGUACUCAGAUCUGUUCUUAUUUUAUUGUGCAUUUACUAAAUCUUCUGUUUAAAAAUUUUACUGGGAAAAAAUCCUGCACGAAUCACAGACCUAAACGAGAUAAAGCAUAUACAGUAGUAUACAAAUCAACAAAUUACUACUAAGAAAUUUCCUGAUGAUUUUAUAAAGUUUAUAUUAGUAAGAGAAGUAUUGAAACUUGAUUGGUUACAAGAAUCUCAACGUAAAGCUAAAAGAUUCACCUUUGUAUGAUAGAUUUGUAUACUUUACUUCAAAAAUACACUUGAAAUUUAUAAAUAUGAUAGUCGGAAAGGAGAUAGCAAUGAUGAGGACGUCAUUGUGUUUUGUUUAUUAAACAAAUCCAACCACCUAAUUAUUUUACAAAAUCACUCCCAACUUUAUAAACUCAUUGAAUGAUUGAAACUAUAAUAUGAUUUCUUUGAAUCCUCAUGAAACCAGAGUGAAACAACAGAGAAGGGGAAGCAAAGUGGCUUUCGAUCUUUUUUCUUUUUCUUUUUCGGUAAAGUAACCAAACUAUUUCAUAAAAAAUACAAAGAUGUUACACUUGUUUGCCUCUGAUUCAUUCUUGUCCUUGUCAUUUGAUCGCAAAAUAUACAAGAGAAAGUACCUAACCUAAUUAUUCGCGUAUUCUUAACAGCCAAGAAAAGGUCCUGAUCAAUGACGUUAAACAAGAGUAGAGGUACAGAAACUAUUGUUAAACUAUAACAGAAAGCAAAACAUUAUUGUAAACCAACAGAUUAACAUUAUUCAUGACUAUUGACUAACUAUGGUACAUAUAAUUUCAAAACAUAUAUAGCAGUCCUUCGACUUAGUGGUCAGUAACUGCUUACCUACGUGAUUAGUACAUCUGAAGGCAACUUCUGAAAGUGUAUAUCAUCUGAACAUAAAUAUGAUACUUACAUAGUGGGUAAGCGGCCUCUGAUUCUCAAAAACCCACCAGUAAGUGAAAACUUCUCCCUCUGUGUACAAAUUGCCUCAUAAUAAAAUGAACAUGUGUGCCGCCACAUGGGGAAGCCCACAGCCCAAGUAGGGAAACAAAGGUAAUCAACACUUCAUUCGGGAAGGUUUAAACGGUUCAACAACACAAGGAAGCUCUUCUCGGGAACAGCGUAAAGGAACCCUAGGUCCGCACCUCCAAUAUACGGCCACAUGCCCUGGUAAAACAAACAGAAUUAAAAUGACAAAUACUGGCAAUCUAUUAGAUAACGGAUAGUUCAAACUUCAAAGUGGAAGCUAUGAUGGAAUUUCAAAGGUAUCGAUGAUUAAUGUAGGAACACUGUUCACACUCGCAUACAAUGGCAUAGUCCCUAAAAGAAAUGUAUCUGGAGCCUAGGUGGAAAUUCUAGUGGGUAUUAACUGCUCACAAGUCAUGCAAGUAAGCUCCUUUUGGGAUACAAAAUGUGGAAUUUAGUUUCCUGGAUUUAUAUUAAAAUUGUCGCAACAGUAAAGAUGUUAUUCACAAUAUAGUGAAUGCUUGCUCACAGCAACAUGCAGCAUAAAAUGUUUUGUCACUCAUGCAAAUGUUAUUCACAAUAUAGUGUAUAAGAACGCAUCAUACAUCGCAACCAUCAGUCAGAUUAUGAAAACGUAAUCGAUGAGCUGCCUCAUAGACAGAGAACCCUAAACAUAUGAGAUAUCCCAUUUUUGAGAUAGACAAUGACAACAUAGUAUUCUAUAAACAACAUCACAUAUAAGAAUUGCAAGGUCAUUAGCGUGGUGACAUGUAGGCUGUGUUUCGUUCGAAGAAUAGUUACGCUCAACUAAAAUAUGCUUAAACCAUGUUAUAUGAACUGUUGUUUACUUUUUAAGAACCAUCAUUUCAUCCUGUUAGUGCGCAUUACACAUCAGAUCAUUAUUGUAGUCAUAAUCUAUCCAAAAAAAAAAAAAAUCCACUUGGUGAAGGCUAUAGAAUUUGCUGAAAUUUUGAACCAUGAUGCUCUUAUUCGGUCGAGAGGUGUGUGCGUUACAAGACAAUGUCACACUCAUAAAAAACACUCUGUCCCAGUUUUUAUAGCAAGCUACAUUAGAAACCCAAGAGUCUGAUGUUUUUUAUAAUUAUUCGAAGAACAACUUGUUUUCCAAAUUGUGUGGGUUCAGGGAAUAUAAAGUCUCCAGUCUCCACAGACCACAGCAGAGUACAAAAUACCACUAGUUAUUGCAACUUUGAAGGAAAAUGUCAAAUAUCCUUGAGCAUCAAGAAAAUGGGGAGAUUCCAAAAAACUCCAGGAAAUAUCAUUAUUAACGUCAAAAUGGGGUAACAUAUAAUUUCAAUAUAUAGAUAAAAUUCAGAAGCAUGGUCAUGAUGUAAUAUUGUCACAAACUCACAAUGUCAACAUUUUGGUAUAUAUUUACCAUAUGAAAACACUUGUACCCUUCAAAUCCCAAAUGCAGGGAGAAUGCUGGCGAGAUUCUAAUAAAUUUUAUUUUUCUAAGGAUCAAAAUUUCAGCUUGUACUAUGCUCCAGCAUAUUACCCUAUGAAACAAUUAAACUUCGAAUCUGACAUGGGCUCGCAUAUAUUUAAAUCAAGUUAUUACCUUGCCACUAAGCUGAAGUAGUUCACCUUCUACCCAUCGUGGAUUUCGGAACCCAACAUCUGCUGUUUUUCCUUGACCUUUAUAACUCGAGACCUGGUCAAAUUACGCUAAGAUUAUUUUCCAUCACUAAAAAUAUAAUCAAACAAAAAUGAAAUCAUAAGUUUAAUAUGGAUAUGCAGAACUAUGGAGGGAAAAAGGCUUUGAGUAAUGAUCAGUCUGUCAAUGGGUUACCCAUUAAAGAAAAUUUAUAUGUUAUCUGAUUGGGCUAUUGAGCUCGGUCAAUGGAAACUUCAAGGAAUUCCAUCCAAAAACGGACUUAUUGAUAGCCACGCAUUGGCUUGUUCAACUCCUAGUGGCUCAAUAAAACAUCAAUUUUGUUUCAUUUCCUUCUUUUAAAACAAAAUAGUGUUUAUAAUUUAAUUAAGUGUAAAAGAUAACUUCUACAGUUGCCAAAAGAUUACAGAACAACGACACAAGAUUACAAUCUUCCAAGUCCCACCCAUAUAUCAGGUCAAGCCACUUGCACUAGAAAUUCAUUAUUGCCCAUCAUAUAUAAGUUUGUGUGGUAACUUUUCUUAGAAUUCGUGUAUUCAAAACUAGGCUUCCAGCUAACUAACACUUUUCAAAAAUUUCAAUACAACAUUCGAAACAUAUUGUUAGCAAAGAUUAUAGACAACAGUGAACAUUUUCUAAGCAAAUAAUGAAACCUACUUUGCUACUCUAGUGCUCAAUUAAUAGAUCAUUGUAUAAAUUCAAGUGAAAAAAAAAGUACCACUCCCAAGUCAUCAGGAUACUUUCCACGAUUUGGGCUCCGAUUGCCUUUCCCAAUUUUAGCACGGAAUGUUACCUACAAAAAGAAAGAGGGGAUCAAGUUGGAAAUGCACACAUGCAUAACCUUAUACCUUAAUGAUAUAGAUGAUAACCUGGCCAGCGGGAACAUUUAGAUCGCCAGUAAGCUUUACUGCCUCAACAUACUCGAAAAACUCAACAUCUGGGGAGUCAGUUUCACUAUGCCAGUAGCCAAACUUACGCCUCAACUGUACCACCUCAGCACCCAUUGGACCAAAGGCCCCAACAUAUAACCCUGCAUUUCAAGCAACAAUUAUAACAAUAUAUGUUUCUUACUCUUUAAAUAGAGAUUUGUUAAAACUUAAAAGUGAAUAACAAAAUUACCAUCAAACGGAUCUAAAUCAUCUUUGGAAGUGGUGAUUCGAGUAAAAGAUGUAAGCUUGGAUAGUCCACUUCUCUUACUAACAGCAAGCUUAAAUAUCUCAUGAAUAUCUUUAGACACCUAAGUGGAAGUUAGAAAUACAUCAGUUAAUAUCCAAGUAAUGUACUUAAGGCACUGAGAUGAAAAAGAGAUGGUGUUAAGUAAUCGAAGUCUAAAUAUUUAGACAAGAAAAUCAAACAUAGUCCUUCACAAAAGACUGCCCAAUUAAGUCAUUCAGAUUAAGAAACAGAAAUCACAUUCUUCCAGUCAUUUCCAUCCAUCUUCAUACAAAUAUCGGGAGGUAACAAAUGUUCCAGACAUGAGACUCUCAAAAUUCAAAUUUAGAAACAAAAUGAACUGAGCACUUCAACUUAAUUUCUGUUAGAUCCACAGAAAAUUGCCACAGUUCACUAUAUAACUGUUUCUUCCUCUUUCUUUCUUUUCUUCUGUUGUUUAUGUAGCGCUGCUUGAUUCUAAUAUAAAACUCAGUAGCUUACCGAUCAAAAGAAAAGAAAAAAUAAAUACAGUACUUCCAUUAGGAGAACACAUCAUUGUCUGCAAUAAUAUUGAUAGUCAAACAACAGACACAAGCAAAAGUAUCAGGAACAGAAGGCAUAGAUUGUCAGCCAUGUAACUCAAAGGAACAACUCAUGUAAUUGUAAAUCUCACCUUUGAAGGAUUCUUAUCUACACCCAAGAAGGCCUUCGCAACCUCGACAGGCAUGAGUUCAGAUACAACUUGAGCUGCAACAGCAUCCUCUUCGUCCUUGGAUACUUGAGUAUCUCCAAAAUCAAUAUCUUUAUUUCUUCCACGAAGAUGUAGGGUGAAAGAAUCCCUUUCCAUGUCCUUUAUUUCAGCUGGGGAACGGACAUAAUCAUCUUUUGAAAAGGCAUCUUCCUUAUUAUGUAAUAUCCCACCAAUAAAAAGUUUUGUAGCAAUAUGCUUUCCCUCCUCAAUCUCUUCAGUUCCUCCUGCUAUUUGAGCCUCAUCCCCCUGAAUAUCAUUCUGACUGUGAUCACCAUCUUCUGAAUUCCGGGGAACACUUGUUGUCUCUUCAUCAUCCUGCACUAAUUGCUCCAUGGAUUCACUACUAUCACCUAUUAUCUCCUUUAGAAUAUUAGCUUUCACUUUAAAUUUCGCACCAGGAAUUUUUUCUUUGAGAUAAUUUAAGACAUUUUUUAAGCCUUCUUCACUUGAAUCUGCAAUAUUAUUGGCAUCCGUAGUAUUUAAAUUUGUCUCUCCACUUCCCUCAGGGAUACUUUCUUCACCAUCUGAAAUGGAACGUAUAGAAGCAUUUUCCGAGCUGGGAAUCACCGGGUUGUCAGUUGGUUUUGAUGGUGAUGGUGACAAUGCGAAAUCUGUUGCACUUUUUUUAGCUUGUUGCAAGAAUACAGCCUGUCCAAAGAUUACGGAUGUCAGAAGCAACUCACAGGAUUUGCUUGAUGAAAUAUUAAUUACUUAUAACUUUAUAAGUAGACAUGCCACAAACUCUCACCAGUUACCUCAGGUACAGACAGUAACAACUACUACUAAAAACUUAUGAGCAUUUUAGAAACAAACUAUAACGGGAGGACUGUCCAUUUUCUUAUUACAUAACCAGUUCUUUGGUAGCAACAAAUCUGAGGUAUUGAAGUGAUGCCAAUUGCCAAUAUACAUAUAUUUGUAAUACGUAUAAGUUAGUUGUACCUAAACCCAAGGUAAAGGUAAUAUCUCAUUAGGAGACAAUAAUUGGUCUGCGGGAUUAGAGUAGAGAGGAACAAGAGGUAAAUAAAGGUUUCAUGCACCUAUAAUCUCUGGCCUACUGGGGUAACAGUUUUUUUAUUUUUUUUUUAUUGGCAAGCCUGUUUUGAGCGAGAUCAGUAACUCAAAGAUGCACUGCCUGGGAUCGAACGACAGACCUCUGGUAUCAUCACCCAGAGGUAUUACCAACUGAGCUCAGCUGGCAUCUGCAAAAUAUUGUGGUAAGCCUGUUAUUAAUGAGAUCAGUAACUCGGCAAUGCUGACGGAAUUAAACCCCCAGACCUCUGGUAUCAUCACCCAAAGGUUUUAUUCCUGUUCUUGUGUCAGUAGGUGUGUUCAAAUGAGAUUUUUGUUUGUGGUGAAAUAAAUGUCAAUUUUGUUUUCUUCUCAAUAUCUUUUGAAAAUCUCAACUUUUCACCACACUUCCUAAAGCAAUGAUACCUCAACUAAACAAAUAGACCACAAGAAGCUAUGCAUUUUGUUGGCACGCAGAAAAAUCAAGAUAUCCCAAGUAGAAGAAACCAAAAUUAAUAUUGUAAAUUUCUUCCCUUGGUAGCUUAGGACUCCCAGAUAUAGAAACAAACAGAAGGUCUCAAUCACACAUAUGGACACUGAUAAUACUCACUAAACAACAUCCUUACCUGCAUACUGUAUGUCUGGUCGUCUUCUUUAUAAACAUAUAUCUCAAACAAGGGGGUCCCAGAAGAUGCAGUAACCAAUUGUCUGUAGAAAACAAACAUCAAUGUGUCUACAAGUUAUAGUGUUUCAUUUUAUGUCAGAAUCAGAACCAGAAAAAGCUUUGUACCUUGGAGUGUAACUCCUGGCCGUAAAUCGCCCUACACCAGGGGUUAUCUGUAUUACCCUUCCAAAGGGAUCAUUAGAAUCCUUGGAACAGCCUACCCACCAGCCCAGCUGCAAAUAACGGUUAUUUACUUAUUUAUAUUGGUAAGCUUACAUAAGAAACGUAAUCCAUGCUGCUGACCUAAGAGAUUCCAUGUUGCAAUGUAAUCCAAAUACCAUCCUCGAGUAAACACCCAAUAGAUAGCAUUAGAGACGUCACUUAAAUAUAUGGUUUGGUGGAGAAUAUCAAGUUUGUUUUAAGUAAAAUAUAUAAAAUUCAGAAAUAAGUUACAUAAACAGAAGCCAUCUCUACAAAAUUGAUCAUCUACGUACCAACUGUUAAGAAUUAAAAGACAAUUUGGUCUAAAACACAAGCUUGCAAAGAUGUGCACGAACAAUAUGUCUCAAAGGGAUCAUGGGUCGCUAUAAUGCUUUGGCCAUAACUCAUCUAGCGUCAUUUACGUUGAAGCAUAUCAUAGGUAAUUUUAAAUAAAUAACUUACCAAUCCGCUGCCUGUAAGCUUACACAACCUUGAGGCAUCAUGGUAACGCUCUUCAUCAAUUGCAUUCUGCCAAUGAAAAGAUAUGAAGCAUCCAAAUCCGUGGGUCAUGCAUAUACUCAUACAAUUAUUAUUAUUUCUUCUCCACUCAACAGAAAAUCUACCUUUAAUUGACACAUAAUGUCAGCUACAGCAUCGUUAGAUGUUGCUUCUGCGAUAGCUUUUUUAAGUCUUGCAGCUUCAUGGAAGUCCUCCUUUUCAACUGCAUCUUCUAAUUGAAACUGUAUGAGAUAAAAACAAAGUUAAAGGACAACGAAAAACAGCCUAGGAUGGACAAACAGAUAAAAGCUUUUCAGUGCAGUAAAACAUUUCAAGCCAUGGAAUUUGAAGUUCCAUCACCAUACUUCUCCAUAUCUGCAAUUUAACAGCCUGGGGACCAGAUGAAGGUUAUUUUUGGAGAUCCAUUAUCCUGUCCUUGGAACUCGCGUUAAUAAAAGUCAUGUGAUUGGCUUAUGUUUUCUUUUUCACAUAAGAGAUGAUCGAUAAUUUAGAUAUGUAAGACCAAACAUUUGAUCAUGAAAUGAACACACUUUUUAGUGUUUAGAAGUUCCUAAAGUGCUGGUACAUAGUCUCUACUAAGGAAAGGGUGCCAUCUUUAAUACCUAUAUAGGUCAAAAGGUGUAUACGUACCUCUAUACACUACAGUUAUCGAUUCGUCAUUUGAUUACUGCUAAAUUGAUAGAAAUUUUCCUCUUAAGAGUAAAACCCUACCAAUUUACCAAAAGUUUAAGUGAUAUCUACAGGGAUAUUUAAAAACCCUUGUCUCACUUUUUUUUUUUAGAUACAUUCAAGUUUUAUAAAUUUACAGGGAUAUCAAGUGGAGCCAUAGUGGACUAUGUGAUGCCUACAUGGCUAAUGUAACUGUGAAACUCGUUCCGAUUAAAGUUGGGGUAGAGUCAAAUCUUUAUGACAGUGUGAUACUCUUUUCCUUGUCUAUAAAUAAUGGCGGAGUCAUCACUCAUGAUUAUAUAUAUUGGCAAGCGGGGUUGAGGGGACCCCUACCCCUUUAAUUUAUGUCUGGAAACUUAUAUCAACAAUCAAACCCACAACCUCUCCACUUUGUGAGAGGGGUGCUACCAUUGAGCCAGAGGCUCAUUCGCCAUGAUUAUAUGUUUCAAGUUAUAUAUCAUGAAUUGGCAUAUAUACAGUACAUACUUUGCAAUUUCAUUCAUCAAGUAAUUGGGGUGCAAAUAGUAAAAUAUACAGGAAGUCAAACAAGUAAAACAACUUCAAGAAGAAGAUAAGUUCUGAAAGUGGGUACCUUAAGAACUGAAGCAAAACUCUCAGCUUGUUCAACAUCAGAGAAAUGUUUAGUCCAACGAUUCCAAUCCCAAUCAGAAGAAGAAUUGUUAAUAAUACUGCAACGACAAAGAAGAUUGAAAUUUCUUGAAUUGGGUUUUUUAGCAAUUGAACUAAUGAAGCUUAGAUUACUCUGUUUCUUUCCAAAAUGUUCAAAACAAGUUUGUUUUAAGUGAUGGGUUGAAGAAGGGUUUAUGUUUGGCACACUCCAUGCAUUUGCUAUCGCCAUAGCUUUUUCUCUUCCAGUUUAUUAUUAGGCGCGUGGUGGUGGCGGUGGUUUUGGACAAAUGUUUUUAUGGAUAGAGAGAUUGAAAAUUGAAAACAGACCAAAGAUUUUAUGCAGAAGAUAUAGAAAUGUUUGUUAGCUAACUCCUAUUUUAAAAGCGUUGCACCUGUACAACUCUCACUGCCUUACAAAACUUUUGGGCAUUGGUACCAAUCAAGGUGGUUUAGCAAGCCAAACCUUCUGUUUAAUUUACUUUUAAGCUUUAUUUCUUUGUUACCUAGUACAAAACAUGAAAAAUAACUACUGGUCAAGAAAAAAACUGACAUUUAGUUCUCUCUUCAGCAAUUUCAUUUUUUUCAAAACUAUAACCAGUACACUGCCAAUAUUCGGCUACAUCCACUAAUUGUUGCAAAAAGGCUAAAUUACAGAUACAUGAGUAUUAGUCAGGGAGUUUCCACAGUUUUCGACUGAAACAUCAUCAGAGGGACUGUUGGAUGUAGUAGCUUGUUGGGGUACUAAAGAUGUAUCCAAGCUGUGAAAACAAUAUCGUGUUCCAGGGACAAAAAGUAUAUCUUUAUCUUGUAUCGGAUGUCAGUACAAGUUCUUCACAACUGCAUGAGAUAAACAAAACAAACUCUCUUCAGGAGGCAGUGCAAAAAGCCAAAAAGUGGUGUAGGGUAUAGUUAACGUUGAAUGGUUGGUGAGACCAUUGUGUUUGGCAGACCGUGAGUUCCAUUUUCGACAGCCUCCAAGGCAACAUCAACGUCAUUUUCUGUUACGGUAUUUUCUGUUCUUAUAGGCCGAAGCAGACCCUGCAGUCUCAACAGAUAUCUCUGACCAGUGGGUUCACCUUGCACAUACUGUGAAGAUGUCAUGACAGUUGCAGAUGAUCGUCCAGAAUCAGCUCGAACAUUGGAGAGGGCACUAAGAUCAAGGUUUGGGAAAACAGAGCAGCGGCAGCGGGGGCACUUCACAUUUAGUCGAAGCCACUGAUCAAUGCACUCAACAUGGAAGUUGUGUGCACAAGGAAGACCACGAACCUGCGGCAUGUCUAGUAUGAGAUUGGAUAUCAAGUCAAAUAAUAGCAGGGUCAAGCAAGUUUCAUAAUUCAUAUUUCAUACAGCACAAUACCCAUCCCUAUAUAAGCUUUAAAUGUGUUUGGGCACAGAAUCUUCUCAAUGAUUAUUGUGAUAUGAAAAAACAAAUUACAAGAUAAACCCAGAGAACUAUAUUUUUGAAACAUACCAACUAAUUUUUUUAUCACAUUUUCAAUUGUAUGAAAUCAUUUAACCAAUUGUCUCUGAGAUAAUAGAAGAAACACAAGCAAAAUCAGGCCUUGGCAUAGAUCAUCCAAAAUACUAAUUCCCAGCUUUCGUAAAGGUAACUGGUACCAAGACGAUGUGCAUGUGUGACUAGCCAACAAAUUUUUUAGGCUAGUACAUGGUUAUCUUUCAGACCCACAAGAUACCAUAAUUGCAUUUAUCUAGACUGAUUAAGAUUCGUAGGUGUCACGAUUAAUGAAACUUGAAAACUUACAUUUCCAACAUCUGUGUUAGAAAAACUGUCUUCAGGCAGACUUCCACAGGAAAAAAUCAAAGACCUUUUUGAAAAGCAUAGGGGAAAUUCUAUAUUAUUCUCCUCAUUUGUGAUUGAGAAAGUGUUAUCUACCUUAACGUAAAGUGGCCAUUUUCAUCCAAAUGGAAAAAUAAUAAUAAUAAGAUACAGUUUUCAUGUCAACUCGGUAUAUACAAUUUUUAACUUAACAGGAUUCUUCGGAACAGAGAGCGCCACUUAGAUGCUGUCGAUAAAAAACUGACAUACUGAUGCGCAGGGUAACCAACUAACCACACAAAAUUAAUGGAAGCUAGUAGUCUAGUAUACACCAACUUAGAAACAAAAUUGUGUCUCAGAAGGUGUAUCCACCUUCUAAUCACGCAUUAUGUUCCUCUUAACAUUUUCGUCUACCUCUCAAAAAAAAUUCCCAUGGAACUGAAAUGUGAGUUUACAUUUUUAGAUGGUCAAGAGCAAAGAAAAUUACCUCAUUCCCCACGACGAAUUCUUCCAAACAGAUUGGACAUUCGCUGCAAUCAGUUGGAACAGCCUUUAGUCUGAACUUGGGGAGUUCCUGAAUGAGUGCCUCUACAGCUUCUCUCUGAUAGAAAAUUACCACAAUAGGGAAAAUUAGUCAUAUAUGACAGCAAGAAGAAAGCCAUCAUAAACAAAGUACAUAAUACAAAGUGCAGAGUGGUUUGUGUAUAUCCCGAAAAAGUGCUAUUAGUAUUAUGGUGAUCCUUCUUCAUUAAGUGAAUAGAGUUAAACUAGACAACAACAGCCCAAGAUACAACAACUAAAAACAAACUUUUAUCUGAAUAGGAUAAUUAUGUGAGAUAUUCUGCCCUAAAAACAUACGAGAAUAUUAUUGUUAAAACCAAUGAAUUCAAUGCCUUCCAAGACCAAUGACCAUUACUGUUCAAAAUUGUACCAAUACCAAAUAAAUGUCAUGAUACUGACUAGAAAGCUACUCUUGGAACCUAAAACAAUGUGACAUACUAGUGUCAGCACUCAUCCAAUAUUACCUGAGCUGUGGUUAAGUACAACCCUGGAUGGUAUACUGCAGCAUCUUGUCCCAUUCCUCUCAUCUCUUGACCUGCAGCUUCAAACGCCCAAUCGGGGACUCGGACCAUAUCAACCAACACCUGCAAUGAGAUAUUCAUAUAUUAUACCAAAGAUGUGAUUUUAUAUAUGUUAAAUCGGCAUUCUAUUGAUGACCCCUUCUAUAUGUAAAAUAAAACGAAAUGGGUUAUGACCCCUUGUAAACUAUGGUAUUUUAGAUAAUUAAUUUCACAAUGUUUAUCAGUAAAAAGAUUCAAAUGGAGGAGCUACAGUAAUAUAAACUUCCUAGAAGGCUGCAAGCACUUGAAAUUAAAUCAUGAUCAUAAAGCUUACCCCAUAUUCUGAAACUGGAAUCCCUUGCUGAGCGCGUUGUAGGUGUACUUCUCUUCGUGUCAACCACUGCAGAAGCAUAUUAAGAUCUAGUGGAUUAAAAUAUAUCCCAGAGAUUCAACAAUAAUUCUGAUGACUUGGGUAAAAAUGGACAGAGAACAUGAAGCAACAAAAUUGCAACUGAACUAUUACAAGAAAAAUAGUCUAUUUACACACCAAUACUGAUAUUGUGGCUCUCUUAUUCUCAUAAUAAACAACAAAGAGUACUAAUGGAUGGAAUAAACAGACUCACAAGACAAGCAAAAGCUCCUAAAAAGGAGAAAGAAGAUAAAGAACGAAACAGUCCAUGGUGUGAGUAUGAACAUUGCUUCAUUGGUUCCAAAUUCAGAUGACAUAUAGUAAAACUGUUAUAACCACAAAAAUAUAAGUAUAAACAAAUCAAGGUUUUCCUUUUUUUGAUGAUAACAGACAAAUGUAAUUGAUCAUGCCAGCUGGUGAAGGCAAUAACAUCACGAUCCGAUAGAGCACAAUGCAAGCUAUAGAAAUUUUAUAUUCCCACCCAUACAUGAGGUCCCAAAGGCUGAUCACCGUGAUGUCAUUUGACUCCCAAUAUAAUGCAGCUAACUUACUCAAGGCAGAUAUUGUCUUCAAAUAUACAGCAGUUUCCUUCUUUCCAUAUGGACCCACAUAGACCAUAAUGUUUUGAGGAUUUUGACUACCUUAUAAAAAAUGUUUAACCUGCACUGCAUUAUCAGAAAAACAUCUAGUGUGCCUUCAGCAUGCGUUUACACAGAUACACUUAGUUUCCUUUCUCAUACAUAUUUGCAAUUUAUCGAGCUUCACCACUUGAUAUCAAAUUCAUCCAUGCAUAAAAAAUUACAAACAAUGAAAAAUCAACGUCUAUAUGCCAAAGUCCCUUCGACAUAUCUGCGACACUAUGCACCUCUGGCAGACAUCUCCAAGGGUCUUUGACACCCCCUGGCAGAUAAAUUUGGCUAAUUAUCCAUGUUUUCACGAUCCACACCACGCAUGCCAAACAAGUCAAAUCUUUCUUAACAAUGCAAUGCUCCUAUUCGUAUUCAUAACAAUAUAAUAUCAUUCUUUGUUCAAUGCCUUCAUUAUCAUGAGCAUACAGGUAUAUAAAUAAAUACAAAAAGAACUAACCUUUCCUGUACAUAAGCAAGCAAUGCAAACAAGUCCACAAUAGCUGAAAAGCAACCAAAUAAGGAAUCCCCAUUUCUGACCCUCCUCGGGCAGCUACAAGCAUCAAGGUAAUAUGCACACUCAUCAGGAUCCUACUUCCUAGAGGAAUAAUGAAACAUUUUAUGAAAAUAUGAUCACCAAGUGACAAAUAGAUAAUGAAAAGAACUUACACAGCUUCUAGCGCUAGUGAACCAUAUGGUACCAAUUAUUGUCCAGACCCAUAAAAAUGGAUAUAGAAAUAUGGAAAGAACAGAGAGAACCACAAUUCUUCCACAGAAACGAGCAUAUCUUUGUUGCCACCCUAGAUCCCUAGAAUUUAUAAUAAACACACAUCUUAGGAUAAAUUACAGUGAGUAACAGAUAGAGAUACAGAUGUGGUAAAAGUAUCAGGGACGACUAUCAUAGAAAUGACAAAAUCUUUUAAUAAAACAAAAAUCAUGGCAGCAUUACACCAGCUCUAUAGCGAUAUAAAAGUUAAAAUGAAGGUGAUUAAUAAAAUUAUACCCUUAGGCUUCUACAGUUAUACCCUUCAAACUAAGGUACCAGGAACAGGGAGUCUUAGAUUGCACCAGGAAAAUGGUAAAUUCCACUUAAAUAGGUGAGAUUCGUGAGAAUCUUCAUGCUUUAGGAAGCAUAAAUUCCACUUAAACGCUCAAGAACUUUUGUAUGGAUCUUUCAUCUGGGAAGUUAAAUAGGGAGCACAUGGGAGAAUUCAAAAUUCCCCGCGAAAGUUUUAGAAAGUAAUAAUAUUCUCCGACGCAUGUAUCCUAUAUCACGAGGGUACUUUACUGAACAGUGGGAUUUUAGUAUUGAAAAAUUUCCUGGGAAAUGAAGUAUACCCUGAAGCAUUCACUAUAAUUACAUCCGUAUGUGCCGAAUAUGCAAAAUACUAUGAUAUUAGUAGGCAAAACACACGCCAGAAUGUACAGCUUGAGCACAAGUCAUUCUAGUUAAAUAUAUACAGUAUUACACAAUUAUUUCAUUGAAGUCGUAACAUUUUCAAUGAACUAAAGAAGAAAAGGAUAAUUUAGAUAAUCUAGCAUCUCAACAAAAACAACUAAGCUAUGCAACUUCUAAUCUCCCUAUACUGCAGAGCAAAAACAAAGGGUGUUUAAAAUGAAAAUUCUUACAAUCCCAUUCCAGCAGCAAGACCAUUGUCUACAAACAUCAAAAGCCGAAAUACAAAGACAGUUGUAUAGUCAACCUGAAAAAAAAAAAAAAAAAAAAACGACCUAGUAAGUUAAUAGUUGUCUUGAUACUAACUAGUGAAUUCAACUUGGAAUGAUGAGAAAGAUAGAAAGAAAAAUAAAGAACUCAUUACUACUCACCACAAUCCAUAUAUGCAAAGGAUAUGUACAAAGAUGAUAUCUUUUCCAAUUGAUUGCAACAAUGAUUCUAAUAUUCAAUUAGUUAAAGAAUUCAACUAUAUAACAAAUACUUAAAAUUGUUUAAUUUAAUAAAACAAAUUGAAGAACAUUUAUAAAAGGAUACACACUUGUUGCAAGCAUCGAUAAGAAGAAUCCAUCAUACCUAAAGAAAGAAAAAAAAAAGAUUGUGAGUAGAAAUGAAUCUAAAUUUAUUCAAAAAAGAAUCUAAAUAAGUAAUUUAAACUUACCACUUGAAAUCGAUACCUCUUAUAGCCAUUAAAGAAGACCUACAUCUAAAACCCUAACAAGAAAACUACUAGUUCUAAAGAAGAAGAAUUCAAGACUUUAUCGAGAUCAGCUGUACUGUUGUAGAGAUUGAAAAGAGAGAGAGAGAGAGAGAGAGAGAGAGAGAGAGAGAGAGAGAGAGAGUAACGUCGUAAGUGAGUUGAGUCGGAAAAGUGUCGAUGCCGUUAUGAUUUUAUAACGGCGAUCUAGAAAACAACAUCAAGUGUGUGACGGUUAAUUAACGAAGUUUUAUUAUUUCUUUUUCAUUUUUUUUCCUAAUUUAGAUUUGACUUUCUUUGACCCAGGGAAGACCAUUUG